UGGGGAAUAUUGGACAAUGGGCGAAAGCCUGAUCCAGCAAUGCCGCGUGAGUGAUGAAGGCCUUAGGGUUGUAAAGCUCUUUUACCCGGGAUGAUAAUGACAGUACCGGGAGAAUAAGCCCCGGCUAACUCCGUGCCAGCAGCCGCGGUAAUACGGAGGGGGCUAGCGUUGUUCGGAAUUACUGGGCGUAAAGCGCACGUAGGCGGCUUUGUAAGUUAGAGGUGAAAGCCCAGAGCUCAACUCUGGAAUUGCCUUUAAGACUGCAUCGCUAGAAUUGUGGAGAGGUAAGUGGAAUUCCGAGUGUAGAGGUGAAAUUCGUAGAUAUUCGGAAGAACACCAGUGGCGAAGGCGACUUACUGGACACAUAUUGACGCUGAGGUGCGAAAGCGUGGGGAGCAAACA
rnacentral:rRNA from 1 species